ensembl:lncRNA
AUGGCCAGGGCAUCAGAGGGAAAGAGGGCUGGAUUAUUAGAAUCCAGAAGCAUGGGAAACAAGCUGCACAAGCUGGGAUCCAGCCCUCUGUCAGAAAGGCGCUGCCUUACUGCUGCUGGGACCUCUGACAGGGCACCAUACGGCAGUUUUGGGUGCUCAGAGGAAAAAAAAGGAAACAAGAACAAACUGUCUACGGCUCAAACCAUGCUGCCAGGAAGAGCAAGAAAAUGGAAAGAAUCAGGAUCAUCCUUUGCCAUCCUGGAGAUUUUCCUACAGUGCUCCUGCCCCCGGAAUCACAAAGCAGAUGGAGUGAUGAGAAAACCGAGCACUUGCAGUUCACCGAGCUGAAGAGGAGAUAUUCAUUAGUUCACUGACUACAAGAAAACUAUGAAGCAGGUGCAAUAAUGUCCACUGAUUCCUGAGGAAACAGAGGCUUUUAAAAGCAAUGUGCAACCAUGUCACUUAGGUCUGUGAGGUCUUAAUGACCAUACUCACUUCCUUAGAGAUUUGGAAAAAGAGUAGCAAUCAAGAGUCUUACCCAAAGGCUAGUUCUGCUUGUGAUACCAGUCUGAGGCUCUCUGUUCAAACAUUUCCAACAAACCAUUUAUGAAUACACACCAACAAUAUAGAAACCCCCCCCACAAGUAUAUAAAGUUGAAUUGUAAUAAAGUUUUAGAUGAGCUCUCAAAUGAAUUAAAAAGUUAAAAUUCUUAAAAAGUUUGAUAAUUCAUGAAAUAUCAAGUGAAGCCAUGAUUGUUUUCAGUAAUCAUUUAGGAACGGAUAAUAAGAUGCUACUCUGUAUUCAUCCCGCUGUAUAAUUAUUAUGAUGGUUUGGAAAGAAUUAGUUGUGUCUGGGAAGCAGAGGUGUAGACAAUAGGAAAAAGUUUUGAUUAUGCCAUUUCUGUGUUCUUUGUAGAGUAACUCAAUUCAUGCAAAUGGAGGUUCUUGCCUAUUCCUUGACUCUAUUUUAUUGACAUGUUGUAUUUGUCAACUAGGUAUUACUUAAACCUUGGAGAAGAUAAGUUUUGAAAAAGGAUUUUGUACCACAUCUUCCUUAUCCAUUCACCUACCAGUGGGCACUUAGGUUGCUUCUCUAUCUUGGCUGCUGUAAAUAGUGCUGCAAUAAACAUAGGGCUGCAAAUAUCUUUGGGAAAUAUCUUUUCAUUUUCAUUUUCUUUGUGUAGAUACCCAGCAGUGGAAUUACUGGAUCAUAUGGUUAUUUCUUUUACUUUUUGAGGAACACCCAGAGGGGAGGUCAGUGGAGGGAAGGGCAAAACAGGUGAAGGUGAGUGGGAGGCACAAGCUUCCAGCUAUGGAAUGAAUAAGUCAUGGAAAUAAAAGGCACAGCAAGGGAAUAUAGUUAAUGAUAUUGUAAUAGUGUUGUAUGGUGACAGAUGGCACUUGGACUUCUGGUGAGCACAGCAUAACGUAUAGAGAAGUUGAACCACUAUGUUGUACACCUGAAAAUUAAUGUGCCAUUGUGUGUCAAUUACACACAUAAAGACAAUUUAAUAAAAGGAUUUUGGUAACAGUUGCAACUAGAUAUAAGGCACAAGUAAUUCAAAAGGCAAACCUUGGAUUUUAACUCAGAUUUCCUAGGUCUUAUUCUUACGUCUUGCACCACUCCUACACCAAUAUAAUGCAGGUAAUUUUAAGCACCACCAUACCUCACAAGAACACUGACGGCUGCAUUUGAAAUGUGCCUGUGAAAAGUGAAAUGGAGUAUUAAGCCCAGGUUGUAGAUGCAGCACUGCCUGUUCCUCUAGGGACAGCGAAAUAGCUUUUGGAAAGUAAAGUAAGUAUUAAAAUCUGGAUUUACAAAGGUGGUCUUAUUUCUUUACCAUUUGCUACGAUUCUAAAGAUUAUAUAUCCUGUUCACUUGCCUCCUUAAAAUUACUCUAGAUAACCAAGUAGCAUGGCAACAAUUUUAGAGAAGAACAAUAGGUAAGCAAGUGAACGUGGGGAUGGUGAUGAGGAGGAAGAUGAGGAGGAGGAGGAUAAAGCCAAUGUGUACCGAAUCCUUAUCUUUUACUAUAGGCCAAAUACUCUGCUAAUGGUUCUCAUUUAAUCACUAGUUUUCCACAACUCUGGACAUAUGUGCAAUUAUCUCUUCUUAUAGUGAGGAAUUAAGCUUAGAGAGGUCAGUUAACUUGUUCAAGGUUGCACAGCUAGUAAGUGGGCCUUUUGAACUUGCGUUAUGUGACUCCCAGGCCUGUGUUCUUAAGCAACAUGCUACAGUGAAUCUGCAAUUUUAUCAGCAUGUUAAGACUGAAAACGGUGACGGUCACAACGAUGAUGAGGAAAAUGAGAAUAAACUUCUUGAGAGCCAAGAUUUUGUAUUUUUACUCAAUGAUGUUAUUGCUCAGAACUUUUAACAGUGUCUAGUUCACAGCAAGUUCCCAAUCCAUGUUUCUGGAAUAACUGAAUGGAUGGAUCGAUGAAUGGAUGGCUGAAUGAAUGAGUGAGUGAAUGAAUGAAUGAUAUGAAAGAGGCUUUAAGAUAUUUCUAUAAAACUAAGAAGCUCAUUUAGUGAAGCAUGUUCAUUUAACAGCAGUGAGUGAGUACCCCUUCACACCAUGCCCUGUUGUGCUGUGGGUGCAAUGGUAGGCCUACUCUUAUGGAGC